UACGAAGGGGGCUAGCGUUGCUCGGAAUCACUGGGCGUAAAGGGUGCGUAGGCGGGUCUUAAGUCAGGGGUGAAAUCCUGGAGCUCAACUCCAGAACUGCCUUUGAUACUGAGGAUCUUGAGUUCGGGAGAGGUGAGUGGAACUGCGAGUGUAGAGGUGAAAUUCGUAGAUAUUCGCAAGAACACCAGUGGCGAAGGCGGCUCACUGGCCCGAUACUGACGCUGAGGCACGAAAGCUAGGGGAGCAAACAGG
rnacentral:rRNA from 1 species